UUUUUGAUUAUAUUUAAGGUGUCGCCUGCUCCAUGCUUUUAAAGUAAAUAGCCGCAGUAUUUUGACUGUGCUAAGGUAGCAUAAUCAUUCGUCCUUUAAUUGGGGGCUGGUAUGAAGGGUAUUAUGAGGGGGUAGCUGUCUCUUGAUAGAAAUUUUUGAAUUUCAUUUUUGGGUGAAAAAGCCUAAAUGAUUCCGUAGGACGAUCAGACCCUGUGGAGCUUAAGCUUGUUAAUUUUUGAUUUAAUUAAAAUAAAUGAGAAUUAAAAUAGUUUGUGUUGGGGCGACAAAGAGUAUAUAAUUAACUCUCUUUUAAUUAAACAUUAUUAAAUGGACAGAUGAUCCUUGAAGAAAGAUUAGAAGAUGAAGUUACCCCAGGGAUAACAGCGUAAUUUUUUUGGAGAGUUCUAAUCGAUAAAAGAGUUUGCGACCUCGAUGUUGGAUUGAGAGUUUGGUAGGGUGUAGCAGUUUUAUUAAAAAGUCUGUUCGACUUU
rnacentral:rRNA from 1 species